rnacentral:rRNA from 1 species
UCCGUAGGUGGAUAAUUAAGUCAGAGGUGAGAUCCUGCAGCUCAACUGUAGAAUUGCCUUUGAUACUGGUUAUCUUGAGUUAUUAUGAAGUAGUUAGAAUAUGUAGUGUAGCGGUGAAAUGCAUAGAUAUUACAUAGAAUACCAAUUGCGAAGGCAGAUUACUAAUAAUCAACUGACACUGAUGGACGAAAGCGUGGGGAGCGAACAGGAUUAGAUACCCUGGUAGUCC